AAGUUCUGCUCGUUGCAAGAGACGCUUCCAAACUGACCUGCGUAACACAGAGUUGUUUCUAAUUUCAUCAUUUCUGCAAAGUCUAUUGCCAUCUCUGUUUCUUGCAUUCAGUCCGCGCUCUCCGAUCAGACCAUGCUCAGCAGCAGAGUGUAUCCCUUUUUCCCUUUCAGCUGCUGUGCAUUCUACAACUACUAGACAAUGUGUCGCCACAGCAAAGCUGUACGCACGUGACGCACAACUACUAGACAAUGUGUCGCCACACCAAAGCUGUACGCACAUGUACAAUGGGUAAACUAACCAUUGUACGACACGGCCUUCCUGACAACUCACACGUCCUCGUGUGUUUUGUUUUCAAUCCCACGAGACUCAAUUUCUCUUUAAACUUUUCUUUAUUCUUAAACAGAUAUUUUUUUUCUUUCUGUUUACUUCAUGUAUUGGACAAAAGCUUUCAAAAAUAAAAAUCACUUACAUAAAUAUCAAAUCUUCUGUAUUCAUUAUAUUUCUUCAAUUAAACAUAAUCUUAUUAAUUCAUUUUGUUAUUCUUUAAUAACAUUAUUCUCUUUUGUAAAAUAAAACCUUUGUGCAUUUCCUUUGGCACAUUUUAACAAUUGUGCAAUUCCUUUUACACGUCUUACAAUAUUACAUUAGUGUAGUUCCUUUAACACUUUUUAACAUUUGUGUAGUUCCUUUAACACUUUUUAACAUUUGUGUAGUUCCUUUAACACGUUAAAAUAACAUUAGUGUAGUUCCUUUAACACUUUACAAUAACAUCCCAGUCGGACUUUUUGGUGCAUGCAUCGUGCCGCAGUCGCCUGACGCGCGCUUUUUUGCACCGUUUUCCGCUUGCAUGCAGACAUCAAGGAAAUUUUUUCCCUUUUCAAAGCAAUUGCUCUGAAAAAAAGGGGACUUAGAAAAUUUUCAUCUCGUUUGGGACUUAGAAAAAUUUUUGCGUGGGACAUUUAACUUAGAAAAAAUUUAUUCAUGCCAAAUUAUUAAUAUUAUAUUUUAUAUUAUUCAUUGAAUACUUUUAAGUUAUAGAAGUGUCAAUUUAAACAAAUUGUUUAAAUACAAAAUAAAAACAAAAAAUUUUAAAUUGAACUAAAAUAGUUUAAUUUUAUUAUUAAAAAAAAAAAUAAAGGAGUAAAAACAAAAGUUACACACCUCAAGCAAAAAAAAAAAAAUUGAAUAAUAAUGUAAAUCUUAAAAAUAAAUACAUUUCUUAAUAGUGAAUUGUGUAAAUACAGAAAACAAAAAAAUAUAAUAUAAAAAAUGGGUGAAAGGGUUGCCAUCGCGUGGGCGAUAUUUUUCUAAGUGCGGGAAUCGAUAGUAGCUUUAAAGUAUGGCAACUCCCCCACUCUAUUUAUUCUAGUGCAUUUAGUUGAAUUGAACGUGUUGAAUUGCAUUUUAACAAAAGAAAUAAUCAACAAGGAGUGAUUUUUCCACCUACGACGACUUCAUUAGGGCCAUCCGGGAUGGAAUAAGGAGAGCCAAAAAUAAAAAUUAUAAGGAAAAAU